rnacentral:rRNA from 1 species
UACGAGGGGUGCAAGCGUUGUUCGGAAUCACUGGGCGUAAAGCGUGUCUAGGCGGCUAUCCAAGUCUGUUGUGAAAGCCCUUGGCUCAACCAAGGAUGUGCAAUGGAUACUGGGUGGCUUGAAUUGUGGAGAGAUGGGCGGAAUUCCGAGUGUAGCAGUGAAAUGCGUAGAUAUUCGGAGGAACACCAGAGGCGAAGGCGGCUCAUUGGCCACAUAUUGACGCUAAAGCACGAAAGCAUGGGUAGUAAACAGG